rnacentral:rRNA from 1 species
UACGGAGGGGGCUAGCGUUGUUCGGAAUUACUGGGCGUAAAGGGCGCGUAGGCGGACCGUUUAGUCAGGGGUGAAAGGCCUGGGCUCAACCCGGGAACUGCCUUUGAAACUGAAGGUCUCGAGUCCGGAAGAGGUGAGUGGAAUUCCCAGUGUAGAGGUGAAAUUCGUAGAUAUUGGGAAGAACACCAGUGGCGAAGGCGGCUAACUGGCCCGGUACUGACGCUGAGGUGCGAAAGCGUGGGGAGCAAACAGG